AGAAAAGAAGAGAUCCCAAUUUUAAAAACUUCUUUUUUUUUUUGGACAAAUAAUAAAAUAGUCCUUGUAGUUUGCCCUAAUUAAUGACUAGAGCCCUAAAUUUUGAAAAUCAAAAUAAUUAAUCUCUCAAAAUUUAUUUUGUUGACAAUUAAGUCCGUCAUUCCAAUUUUUCCAGUAUAUUCCGCUACAUAAGCUAGAUAAACCAGAGAGACUACCUUUUUAUUCCCUAAACCCUCAUCUCUAUCCUUAACACCCCCCAACCCACUCCUCCCAAUUUGUCACUGCCAUACACCCGUCCUCCUCUCUCCCCUCUCCUCCCCUUCCUUUGCA
rnacentral:misc_RNA from 1 species